ACCCUUAGCCUGCAGCUCCAUUCAGCUGUCACUGGCAGUUAUGUCUCCGGCACUUACUCCAUCGUCUUUGUCAACUGUCCCAACGAGCAAAUUGCCAGAGAUAUUGCCAGGGCUAUACUGGAUAAGAAGCUGGCUGCCUCUGUGAACAUCCUGCCCAAGGCAUCCUCAUUGUACUUUUGGAAUGGAGAAAUAGAAGAAGCCACUGAGAUCCUGUUGUUAAUAAAGACAAAGACUUCCAAGGUCCGCGUGCUGUCCAGCUAUGUCAGGUAAUACUGGUGUCUCUUCUCAGCCAGGACCGUUCU